AGUAAUUACAUUUUUAUUAUGAUCGUAUAGCACCCUGCCUGGCUGUAAAGUUCAUGGGUUGUGCAUUCAUUUUGGAGGUUACAAAGUGGUACUGAUAAUAGUUUCUUCUAGUACCAAUAUUUUGUGUACUAUUCCUGAACAUAUCUCCAAGCUGAAUUCUCCAAUUUAUCUGGAUAACUGGAUCUCAAUAACUUCUUGUUGAACAGUGCAAUGUCAUCACUUCUGAAGUACAGAAGAUUCCUACUGAACUUUUCCUUCAACUUGGAAGUUAGUGGCAACUGUACACCUCAGAAAUCCCCCUGAUGAUGAUGCCUUUGGAAGCAGUCACAAGACUUCUCCAUCUUGCAGCUGUGUGAAGUCUGUAGAAGAGUCAGGCAGAUCUCAUGGCUUUGCUGGGGACUAUACCGUUCCUGUUGGGAACUAUACCAUCUCCAGUGACUGCUGAUUUUUUUUUUUUCAUUCUGAUUUUGGACACUCAUUGAAGCAUCCUUAUGCAUCAACCUAAGGGUAACAACAGUAAUUUCUACUAGAUGAUCUUAGCACUGGGAAAUGGUUGGUUGUACCAGCUAAUGACAGGAUUGUAGAAUGAAUAUGUACUAUCGCAGAGGAGUGACUGUGAAAUUUCAGCUUUUAUGGUGUUUCAGGAGAGGUAUUCCCAGCACCUGAAUAAAUAAAGGGAAACCCCCCUAUCAUUGGAAAA